CUUCAGUCAUGACAAGAUAACGAGUCAGAAAUGUCACAUCCUGCUCUUGGUCCUUGUUAGGGCCACGUUCUGUGGUGUUGCACAUGGGCUCCCAUAGCAAAAGUGUCCUAUUCCUUGAUUGAUUUUAAGGCAUUUGUCUGAGAAGG
ensembl:snoRNA SNORD15 Small nucleolar RNA SNORD15